rnacentral:lncRNA from 1 species
AACUAAAAUUUUUUUCUUAGUUAUAAGGUGCUCACGAAUACAGCCUGUUACAGCCACCCACCUGCAGACCGCCUUGUAGCACUUCUAAGCCUCGGAGCUGCCAUCAUGCUGGAUGGGAGAGAUGGGAGGUCAAACGCCUGCCAGGGUUCUAAAUUCCGUUUUCCUUGAAACGUCAUAGAAGGUUUAGGAUCCAUCUUUAGUUGGAGGGAAGGGAGGAAGAGUAAAAGUGUGGUAGAGGCAGAAAGACAACAAUUGCUUUUCAUGCUUUGCUUUAGUUCACUAAAACAUUGUUCCAGUUCUUACUACUGUAUGGGGAGAUGGCACACUCACGUGUUGGAGAGGGUCCGGUUAGGGUUUGGGAGAUGAUUGUGUAAAAUUCAGUUAGUUCUCAGGCUUUUCCACUUAGAAGUAGAGACCGUCAACGACUAGAGCGAAGUUUAAUUCAUUCUUCAGUCUUAAACAGAGCCGGCCAGCGAGGGAGCCAUCGAAAUAGAAAUGUGGACGACUUCUGCGGGCGGCAGCAAGCACCAUGCACACAAAUCCCGGAGCCUUGCCUGCAGUAUCCACUAAACGCAUGAAAUCUGUAUUAACCAGAAGACGAACAGCGGACUCCUUCAGACCUUAAGCUCUCACCACCAGGUCCAGCAGCAGCAGCCCCAGCCUGGCCCUGCAAACUCUUCUGGACUUGAGCAACAGGCGACUGACUCACCAAGAGACAGAGGGGAGGAGAGUGAAGCCAAGCUGCUGCCUUUAAGUCAUCAAGACCAUUUUCACCAUAAUGAGUUUGUGCGAGUGAAAAGGGGCUUAGGGUGUUUGGGAACCAUUCAUUUAUAA